rnacentral:sRNA from 1 species
GACGCUAGUGGUUGGCGCUCCUGGUUUCCAGGACGGGGUUCAAGCCCCUGCGGUGUC